UCAAGUGUAUUAAUUUGUUUUAAUGGAAAUCUGAAUAAUGAAAAAAAAAAUUCAAACACUCCAUAAUGAAAAGCGAUUAAAGAAUAGAUCGUUAGUGUACUGAAUUCUAGACCACGAUCUACAAACUUGUAGACAUUUGUACAUUUUUAUCGAGAAUGUUCCUGUUUAGCCUCUUGGCCUUUCUACUGUCAGUUGGUGAACAUGAGCUGAGAAAUUACGACGUGAACACAACGCUAGGGUCACAUUUUCUUUUCGCAUUUUCCAAGUUGUUUGCUGAACGUAAGGACGUGUUCUUCUUCCUCUUCUCGUUAUCUGCCACGGAAAUAGAG